rnacentral:rRNA from 1 species
CACGGAGUUAGCCGGAGCUUAUUCUCCAGGUACUGUCAUUAUCAUCCCUGGUAAAAGAGCUUUACAACCCUAAGGCCUUCAUCACUCACGCGGCAUUGCUGGAUCAGGCUUUCGCCCAUUGUCCAACUAUUCCCACUGCUGCCUCCCGUAGAGUCUGGGCCGUGUCUCAGUCCCAGUGUGGCUGAUCAUCCUCUCAGACCAGCUAAGGAUCGUCGGCUUGGUAGGCCUUUACCCCACCAACUACCUAAUCCUACGCGGGCUCAUCCUUUGCCGAUAAAUCUUUGGUCUUACGACAUCAUCCGGUAUUAGCAGUCAUUUCUAACUGUUAUUCCGAAGCAAAGGGCAGAUUCCCACGCGUUACGCACCCGUGCGCCACUAGACCCGAAGGUCUCGUUCGACUUGCAUGUGUUAGGCAUGCCGCCAGCGUUCGUUCUGAGCCAGGAUCAAACUC